AUAAAUAAGUUUUUGUCCAUAGGUUAUAAACACACUAAUUAUAAUAAAUUUGAGAGAAUCCUUGAAAGGUUAGACUUUUCUUCUUUUAGCAUUUUUGUUAAUUCAGCUUCUUCAAGUUCUUCGAGGAGCAUGAGUCUUCAAAAGUCUUGUUGAGCCAAUGAGCGGGAAUCAACUUAUCAGUAAGCCUAUGGCAUUUUUUCUAUUCUUAUUUAUUUUUCCAAGUCCUUGUUUUUGAAUUCUUUUUAGGAAUGUAGAUUCAAUUAGAGGGAGGGAUUUAU
rnacentral:lncRNA from 1 species